ACCCAUGAUUUCCGUAUGUAGACUGUAAUCUUUUAAUCUACUUUCGAAGCUUUGGAUACUCACAAUAAAUGCCAGCCAUUAGCAACAAACUUUUUAGGUCCUCCAGCACGUACAUUGUUAGCCAUUGCUUGUAAAUUUAUUAAGUUACUAGUGGUUUGUCCGCGUUUCGUGCGGGCUGUUCGGUUUAAAAUUUAUGAUUUUGUUGGAUAAUUUUCAUUGUCAAUAGAUAUAGAGCUUUUAAUAUGGUUGUAUUUUAUGUGUUUGGCAUGCUAGUGUAAAGUUUUAUGUAAUGUGUGUAUCGUAAAUAUAGUGGGUGUAACAUAGUAAAUGUUUUGGCUUAGGGUUGUCUUUAAGGUCAUAGAGAGGGGAUUGAUGAAAGAAGGGGAAAUGUUACUAUGAAUUUGUGGAAAAUACUAAGCAAAAACUUUGAUAUUUCCCAAUAGUGAAAUAGUAUUUGGCUAUGAUAUUUGCCAAUUUUUAAUAUUCUGUAUAGUAUAAAGAUGUUGAGAACUUGUAGCCUAAUGUUGUUUGUAAACAAUAUGGCUCAGGGGAGGUUUGUUUUGGUGAAUUUUUUCUUGCACGUGUUUGUGUAUUGUUUUUUCAUAUUUUUUCUAUAAAAUUU
rnacentral:lncRNA from 1 species